rnacentral:rRNA from 1 species
GGUUCAUUCACAUUUCUGCCCUAUCAACUUUCGACGGCUGGGUCUUGGCCAGCCAUGGUGACAACGGGUAACGGAGGGUUAGGGCUCGANCCCGGAGAAGGAGCCUGAGAAACGGCUACUACAUCCAAGGAAGGCAGCAGGCGCGCAAAUUACCCAAUCCCGACCGGGGAGGUAGUGACAAUAAAUACUGAUACAGGGAUCUUAUGGGUCUUGUAAUUGGAAUGAGUACAAUUUAAACCUCUUAACGAGGAACAAUUGGAGGGCAAGUCUGGUGCCAGAAGCCGCGGUAACUCCAGCUCCAAUAGCGUAUAUUAAAGUUGUUGCAGUUAAAAAGCUCAUAGUUG